rnacentral:rRNA from 1 species
UACAGAGGGGGCAAGCGUUGUUCGGAAUUACUGGGCGUAAAGAGCGCGCAGGCGGUCGUUCAAGUCGCGUGUGAAAGCCCCCGGCUCAACUGGGGAGGGUCACGCGAUACUGAUCGACUCGAAGGCAGGAGAGGGUAGUGGAAUUCCUGGUGUAGCGGUGAAAUGCGCAGAUAUCAGGAGGAACACCGGUGGCGAAGGCGGGUCUCUGGGCCGAUACUGACGCUGAGGAGCGAAAGCGUGGGGAGCAAACAGG